rnacentral:rRNA from 1 species
AUGCUAUAUUAUCUACUGUUUUGGGCAAUAGGAAGCAAGAAAGGAGAGCACAAAACAGCUAGGGUUCGGUGGAAAACAAUGACUAUGCCCAAGUUCAUGGGUGGUUUGGGUUUUAGGGACAUUGAGUUAAAUUUGGCCGUACUAGUUUGUCAAACUUGGAGAAUUAUAGAAGACCCUGGAUCGUUGAGUGCACGUGUUUUGAAGGCCAGGUAUUUCCUGGAUUGUCAUCUCAUAGAUGCUAGUUUGGGCUCAUCCCCUUCACAGGCGUGGCACUCGUUGUUGAAAGGGAGGGAGACUCUCUCUCUAGGUCUUAUUAAACACAUUGGAUCAGGCACAUCCACCAAUAUCUGGACCAAAAACUGGCUACCUAGGGACUACAAACUCGUGCCAAUUUGCUCUAUAUCUAAUGAUCAACCCCAGUUGGUGUCUGAAUUGAUCAAUCCAUUCACUAGAUCUUGGGACAAACAAGGGCUGACGGAGCAGCUUAUUGCACCAGAUAUUGAGGUGAUUCUCAACAUCCCACUUAGCUCAAGAGUACAGGAGCAUAUCUGGCCUUGGCAUUAUGAAAAAUGA